rnacentral:rRNA from 1 species
UGGGGAAUUUUGCACAAUGGAGGGAACUCUGAUGCAGCGACGCCGCGUUAGUGAUGAAGGAAUUCGUUUCGUAAAACUCUGUUCUAUGGGAAGAAAAGGACUGUACCAUAGGAGAAAGCUCCGGCUAAAUACGUGCCAGCAGCCGCGGUAAUACGUAUGGAGCGAGCGUUGUCCGGAAUUAUUGGGCGUAAAGGGUGCGCAGGCGGCUUUACAAGUUGGAUGUGAAAUAUUGUGGCUCAACCACAAACGUGCAUCCAAAACUGCAAAGCUUGAGUUAAGGAGGGGUAAGGGGAAUUCCUGGUGUAGCGGUGGAAAGCGUAGAUAUCAGGAGGAAUACCGGUGGCGAAGGCGACUUACUGGACUUAAACUGGCGCUCAGGCACGAAAGCGUGGGGAGCAAACAGG